CCUAUGACUCAUUCUCCAUUUAUGAUUUAUUAAAAAAAGGUCAAAUCACCUGAGUUUUUUUUGGUUAGAAGAGUCUGGAUGAAGUCUCUGAAUGUACUGGUGACAGAGCUGUUUUGAUGGCUAGCCCUUACAUCAGAGAUGUUCAAGAUGGCUAGGUGGGAAUACUUCAACUUUCGUUCCUUGUUACCUUUAUUUCACCUGAGACUCAGCUAGCAACCCCAGCAUUGUGUGUCCGUAUAUACCCGUUACAUCUGGAAGACCUUUACAAUUCACCUGUUAGCCUGAGAAAGAAAGCACCUCAAAGAACAUACAAUUAUAGCUGUCCCAUUGUUUGCUCUGUUCCAUGCCUAAGCUUACAACCAACCACCAGUGCCCAAAACUGCACGUGAUAUUCAAGGUGAGGCCACACCAGUGCAGAGCAGAGCAGAGCAGGACAAUCACCUCCCUUGACCGACUGGCGAUGCUGUGCCUGGUGCCCCCCAGGACACAAUUGGCCCUCCUGGCUCAAGCAGCCAUGAGUGAAGAGAAGUCUGGGGGCAGAGAGCAAGCUGUACAGGGGGGUUCCUGAGUCCAGGAACACCCAAGUAGCAGCCCCACGACCCAGAAGCCCUCGGCAGUCAACCAGGUGAGGAGGGUGUGGUGCUUGGAGUGACCAAGGGGCAUUUAAAUGGCAUCAGGGAGCGUGAGCAACCCAGACCGCAGUGAACAGAACUUCAGAUAAUUCCUUAUGUAAAAAAGGGAUAUGUUAAUUGAGGAACUUUACAUUAAUAAGCAAUUUCUCCAAAAAACCCCAAGAGAACAUGAAACAAUAAUAUCUAUUUUGAAGCAGUUUCAGUGGUCCUAAACAUCAUGAGACCUGUGAUCCAGAGAAGCUUGUAUAACCUCUGAAUACCACUGCUCUAUAAUAUACAGUAUAGACAUAAGUUAUAAGAUGGUGUGUUCAAGAAUUGGCAGAAUAAACAUCCUCAUGGAACUCAGUUAACAACAAUAGUUAUGGCAGGUUAGCCUUGCUGUAGUAAGCUAGCUUGCAAAAACAGAUGAUUUGCCUGUCCAACUAGUAGGCAUAAUGGGUAGCCUUUCAAAUGCAAACUCAUGACUAUAUGUGCAAAAAAAUGGGCAAACUUGGUUUUUUUUCCUGAUUUUUAAAGUGUUUAUUUGAAACAUGUAGGCUUUAGAUACCAUCAGAGAUUAAACGUUACCUAUUUAGCAAUGACUGAGAGAGUCUAGGAAGCUACUUCUUCCAGAAGAAACAUUUGUCUCAACAAAAUUCUUUUACCAGCCCUAAAUAAGAAAAGGAGCAAAUCUCUACUUCAACCAAAGGUGAAACUACAGUAUAAUUAGAGCCAGCCAUUAAUCUACCUUGCAUGAGUAGUAAUAUAAAUGAAGAUAUGAUACAUGAACUCCAGAUCAGGCUGCCACUGGAUAGAACUUUGUCAGCCUGUCAGGUUCAUGGUGACCUUCUGCUGCUAGUGUACAGGUGCUAUGUGUCACUUGUGUAAGCCCUGUGACUGCAGUGAAGGCACAUGCAAGAAAGGGUUUCCUAAGUAAAGGGCUUUAGUGUACAUCGAGAUUGGGAGGUCUUGGUGAAAAAAAGCUGUGUCAUCGCACGUCUUAUGAAAACAGAAAAGUGGUUCAUGAAGUACCAUUUUAGCUGCAAUAAUAACUUUGACAGAGGGUGUUUCUUAUGUUGGUUGGACCGUAAUCUUCCUAGCUGUUUACUGAUUUCUGGGUGUUGUGGUUUUAGUUAAAUGAGAAAGGUUUUUAGUGAAUUUUUUCAUACCACCAUGUGAGUGGGAAUGUGGGUAACUGUCCCACCCCCCACCCCACCCUGUCCGAGCUGAACUGGGGAAAGACUGUCCCCAGCAUCUUGGGACCUGCUGGAAAGGUGGGUCCCUGAAGGGAAGCAACCUGGGAACUCAGGAGACAGGAGUUAAAAAAAAAAGCAUGCGCCAGAACUCUUUCUCUCUUGGUACCCAGGUAUUUGCUUGCUGGAGCAUCAUGGACCUUUGGAGCUUCUUUCACGGGAACCAAUCUACCUCAGCUGCUGUUUUCUGUCUCAGCAGCAGCCAUUUUGCUCAUCAGAUUGGGACUGCCCCAGCCCCCAGCUGAGCUGUCCAGGUGUGACCAGUCACUGCUGAUAGCCUGGGGAUUCCCCUUUCAGGAGCUGCAUGGAGCGCUGUCACCACGUGGCCUGGGACUACUGGAGGGGGUAGCUAGGUAAUAUUUUCUGCUGUUGUUGGGGGGUUUUUUGUUUUUAUUUCUUUCUGGUGAUGGCAAAAAGGCACAAAAAAGAGCUAACAAUGGUUCAGCUGGUAUACCUUGUCCUGUUUCUCUACCUGUUUUGUUAGAAGAACAUUUUGGGAGCACUGGCUAAUAUCAUGUUCUGUUCUGCUCAUUGGACCAAAGGCCUUAUUAUAGAAAGAAUAGGAGUAGUAUACACAAGGUAAUAAAUUAGGUAAACUAGACAUUUAAAUAAGAUACAGAGGGCCCAGAGCCAGGAUUUUGCAAACUUGAAGAAUUCAGUUCACCUAACUUGAAGAGGUCAAAUUGAGGAAGACGUCUGUGGUGACCACCAGAGGGAUGAAGGCUUGAGGAGAAGAUCCCCACAGUAGAAGACUGUGCAUGCCCAAAAAGAUGUAGAAAGACUCCGCCCAGAGACUAGCCUACUUAUUAAUAUGUAUGCUAGAUGAUGUAGCCAUGUGUCUAAAGUGUAUAAAAUGACUUGCUUUUGCACUUUCAAGCCGAGCAAGUUUGUCCAGCAAGAGCUGGCUUGCUCCCAAUGUUGAAUAAACAAAUACCUUGCUGCUUAUAGAUGCAAAAGUCUCUGAGCAGUUAAUUAUUCCAAGGUUUUUCGGCAUCACUGGUUUUAGUAAAAUUGGUAUUUUUCCUUCUUCAUUCAGACUCCUUGUAAUUUCUACCUUGUCAGUGUUAGGGGGAGAGAAAUAAAAGAAAAUGAGAGUUCAUCUUGUUAGCAGUCUCACCUCCCAAACAUAUUGUCAUUAAACCACGACACUGGGCAAUAAAAAUUACUGUGUAUCCCUAUAACUACCCUGUCUCUUUACGUUUUAAGAUCUUUGUCUAAGUUAUGGUCUUCAAUGACGCACUUUUAAAUACUUUUUCAGUCUAAUACUGGUGCGGCAGCUUGGGGUCUACAGACUUCCUGAUAAUGUGCAGAUGGUUCUCAGGAGGAUUAACACACCUGUGUUGCCUCUGUAGCUCAAGUAGUAGGUGGCAACGUUCACUGAGAAUAUAAACUUCAAAGGUGGGUGAUGGCCUUCUUCUGGGGCAGUUUUCUUUGUAAUGAGUAUGCAAAGAUGAACAAAACCAACCUCAUCUCUUCACAUUUGUCAUUGAAUACAUAUUUAAUAAUGGCAGCUUUCUUCAUUAUUAUCAGAGAAUUGUCCUUAUUCAUUACCUGAAAAUGUGUAGCUAAAACCCCAUGUUUCUGCUCCAGUGUAAAGCUUCAUAUUUAAUGUAUUUCAGUAACAACGUAAAGAGAUUACCUUUUGAAGAUUCUGUGGAAAAAGAAGGCUUUCCCAGUCACUUGCCUUUAUGUCUCUGAUAGUCAUGGAGUGUCUGUCACUCCAUCUGCCAAGCCCCCAGUAUCCAAGAAACAACACAAGUUUUAGACAUAGAUUUUCUCUAAUGAAAAUUAUUCAAGAUAACAUAAUCUUAACUGAUAUGUUGCAUAACAGGACUAAGAAAACUCAGCAAAAGUGAGAAGGGUGCUGAAUUAACCACACACACACACAGGCUAUAUACAUCACACACACUAAACAAGAUGUGGAUAGGUGAACUGAAAUAAAAUUAUCAAGAAAUUAUUUCUAUUGUGCAAAAUUCCCAUUUCUCUCUUGCUAACAAAUUCAGAACUGAAAUCUUCAUAUUAUAUGCAACAGUCAUGUAUUUGUGAUGCUAGCCAAGCUCUUCUCCCAUCUUUCAGCCAGUAUCUCAUCUGAGUUCAUUGUACAUCCUUAGUUCAAAAAGGCAGUGUGAAAGUAGAAGAAACAUAUUUACAUAUUAAAUUUAUAGAUUAUGCUUAAAAUUGUGGCUUGUUCCAAAUAGCCUUAUUAUAAAGUUCUUUGAAAGUGAUCAGCACAGAGAGAUUUUAGGGACAAUGAUUGCAAAUUUAAGCAGUGAAGGAAACAUAAUGCUUGAAAAACAAUUGUGGAGAGGAUAGAAGUCACUGUGACCUAGAUUGAAAAAUGAAAUUUGUAGACAGCAGAUGUUUCAUGUGAAAGAAGACCCAGUUAACAUUUUAAAAUGCACAAAUCCUCCCUGUCCCUGGAAAGAAUUGAGCUAACCUACUGAUUAUUUUCUGUUAUUUAAAUAAAUGUCAGAUAUAUUACAUUCAAGUAAAAAGAUCUGCCUGCAGUCAGCAGAAAUUUCCUUUUCACUCCUAAGAGAUGGAUAUGCUUGAUUAUGGAUGGGUAUGGGUAAUUAAGGUAGUUAUACAGUCCAAAACUGUUCAAACUAUCAGUAUUUUAAGUACUUUAAUAAAAUCUGAAAUUUGAAGUACUACAUAAAGUUAUUUGGAAUGAAAAUAUCUUUACAUCACAACUGAUAUUUACAAUAAGGUUAUUCAAAGGACAUGCAAGUGAUAAUGAAUCUUAACAGACCAACAUAACACAUUGGAAUUUCCUAUGCUGUCUUGAAAGAUAUAUAUGUUCAUUGUUGCUCUUUUUAAUAGAAACAGUAACAAAAAAAGUUACACUGACAAUUUUUUUGAACACAGGCCUAAUAAGUUUAAAAUUACCCUAAAGAAAACAAGGUUUAGGAAAAAUAAAAUAAUUAAGCAUGCUCAUUACUGACUUAGGGCUCAUAAUUAAGCUUAUUUGUAUCUGGCUUAAGGCUUGUAGUUAAGCAUACUCAUAGCUGCCUUUUAUGCCAGAGGAAAUAGGAUUCUUAGAAAACCUUAUUGGUUCAGUCACACCAGGGUGCUUAAGGGCUGACUCCUAAUUUAAAAUUGACUGUUUUUUAAAAGAGGUUGAGCUGUCUUCGGCCUUGCUGACCUGCAUGGAGCUGUGAGAAAGCUCUCUGUGCGUGGCUGAGGGUUGCUGGGCUGGAACACACCCCACCACAGGCCAGUCCAGGUGCCGGAGCUGCCAUCCUGACUUCUCUCUGAAUCUUCCUUCCUGCUUGUCUCAGAGCUUUCUCAUGCCCCUUCAGACAAAACCUGGAAAGCUGGAGUAAGUCACAAAUCAGGCAUCAAUCUAGCCCCAAAAAUAAAGCACUAAGACCAACAUUUUCCAGAGAAACUGGCCAAGAGAUCCACAUAGAUUGCCUAACUCCUCAAAACACUGAAAUAUCCCACAUUCAGGUAUUUGGUUGAAUACC